rnacentral:rRNA from 1 species
AGCGAACGCUGGCGGCAGGCUUAACACAUGCAAGUCGAACGCCCCGCAAGGGGAGUGGCAGACGGGUGAGUAACACGUGGGAACGUACCCUUUGGUUCGGAAUAACUUGGGGAAACUCAAGCUAAUACCGGAUAAGCCCUUAUGGGGAAAGGUUUACUGCCGAAGGAUCGGCCCGCGUCUGAUUAGCUAGUUGGUGAGGUAAUGGCUCACCAAGGCGACGAUCAGUAGCUGGUCUGAGAGGAUGAUCAGCCACACUGGGACUGAGACACGGCCCAGACUCCUACGGGAGGCAGCAGUGGGGAAUAUUGGACAAUGGGGGCAACCCUGAUCCGGCCAUGCCGCGUGAGUGAUGAAGGCCUUAGGGUUGUAAAGCUCUUUUACCCGGGACGAUAAUGACUGUACCGGGGGAAUAAGCCCCGGCUAACUUCGUGCCAGCCGCCGCGGUAA